rnacentral:rRNA from 1 species
GCUUACGGCCACACCGCCUGGUUCAUGCCCGAUCUCGUUUGAUCUCGGAAGCUAAGAUAGGUUGGGCCUGGUUACUACUUGGAUGGGAGAACCGCCUGGGAAUACCAGGUGCUGUAAGGC